GAGAGAGAGAGAGAGAGAGAGAGAGAAUCCCAAGCAGCCUCUGCACUGUCAGCACAGCUUGAUGAAGGGCUCCAACACAUGAACCUUGAGAUCAUGAUCUCAGUUGCAACCAAGAGUUGGACACUUAAGCGAGUGAGCUGGUGCCCCAGUGUAAAUAUUUAUUAAUAGGAGACUGAUGAGGUAAUAUGCAAUGUCGAGGCAAUGGAACAUUAUAUAGCUUUAUAUCCUUGUUUUUUUUUUUUUUUUUAAUGUUCAUUCAUUUUUGAGAGCAAGGGUGGGACAGAGGAUCCGAAGAAGGCUCUGAGCUGAGAGCAGCUAUCCCGGUGUGGGGCUUGAACUCAUGAACUGUGAGAUCAUGACUUGAGCCGAAGUCAUCCGGAUGCUCAACCGGCUGAGCCACCCAGGUGCCCUUUAUGUAGCUUUUAAAAGGAUCUUUCUCUAGUGAUAUUGUGGGACUAUAUUUAUAGCAAUCAAAUAAAACAGGGUGCAAAGCAGUGUGGAUAAGAGGCUCUAAUUUAUACUAAAAUUACAUACACAUAUUUAUAUAUGUAUUACUUUCUGAAAGAAUUUCAAAAUAAAUUCCUUAUUUUUAUUUUAAAAAUAAAUGUAAGAUAAACUGGCAACUAGUUGCCUCUGGUGAAUGCACCUGGGUAUCUGGAGUCUUUUAUUUUUGGUAUGGCCUUUUGAAUUUAAUGCCACAUGUAUGUUUUACCUAUCCAAAAACAUAUUUAAAUGUAAAUCUGUAUAUACAAUAGGAUAACAAUAAAAAGUAUGUCUAAAUACAUGAAUAAAAAGACAUGAGGAUAAAUAAUCUCAAAAUGUUAGCAGGGAUUUUCCUUUGAUGCUGGAUUUACUGUUGAUUUUUAUUUUCUUCUUGUAGUUUCUGUAUUUACCCAAUACACAUGGAUUGUUUUUAUAGAUAACAAUAUGUUGUUAAAAACCUACUCAUUUCAAUUUUUUUUUUGCAACUAUAAAUUGUUAAAACUGAAUUGGCUUUAUGUAGACUUAUGCUCCUAGUAUGCUAAAUUAGUUUUCUAAACUGAUGUAACAUAAGUCCAAAAAUGCACAAAGUUAGCUCAAGAGACUGUUUAUAUGUUGGAGAUAUAUGACCAUAACCUCUUUUUUUGUCUUACUGCAUAUCUCAACUUUCUGAAUUUCCUCUUCACAACGAAUAACACAUCCAGCGUUAGUUUUGACGUCUUCAGUGGGAUCUCUACGUGGCUCAGCUCCCCAAGGAGAGAUCCCCUUUGAGAAUCUUCAGAUCCUGGGAACGAGGGUCAAAAGUGUGUAGACAGAGACGCCAGGCCUUUAGAGAACUUCCGCCAACUUGGGGUGCCUUUUCACGUGUUCCGCAGUGUUCUCUUCCUGCCUUUACUCAAACUCCAGUUCGUGUCUUUCCAGUGCAUCUGGCUGGAGUGUAAAAGCACCAAAGCUAAUCACCUAACCACAGUCUUUGAAUUGAAGCGGUACCUCUGCUUCCUAAACAGUGGAACUGUAGCUGUCUGUCUGUGCUUCUCUUCACGUACCUCAGACUGGGCAUCUGGCAGUGACAGGAUGGCCAGAUACCUCUUCUACUUCCAGCCUCAUGCCUGCAUUCCUGGCAGGAAUAAGAAGGGGACAGAAUGAAGCCCACGUGUAUCAGGAAAGCAACCAUUUCCCAGAAAUCUCUGGCAGACUUUUCGAUUAUUUUUCAUCGGCUCUGAAUUCCGUACUUCCCUUUAGAUGUAAGGAAUUUUGGGAAGGUGGCACAUGGUGUCCCUGAAAAGAACGAUUUUUCUUUUAGUAAAGGAUGGGCAGUGACUGGGUAUCCGGCAGUGUCCAUCCAGCAGAGGUUUUUGUUUUAUUUUGUUUUUGCAAAAAUACAACCGGCCAUCUUAAGGGCAUCCCAGGCCAAGAUGCAGGCACCCCUUGAAUUCCUGGGAUUGUGCCAGAACUGGCCAAUGAGGAGCUUGUAUUCUGUAACUUAAGUUUGAAUGGACAAUGGAACAUGCACCUGCGCAGAGGAGAUAUGUGAAAAAGCAUGCUUUCACGUUGACCUGUAGCUGGUGAGCAGUGGGCGGAGCACCGUUAGCGUGGCUCUACACGCCAUGCCCGGGACCUGAGUUGGGCUGGGUGUGGUGGUGGUGACGGUGAUGGUGAGGGCAGCCACAGCAGCAGCAGCAGGGGCAGCAGUAGUCACAGCCCUGGAGAGAGGAGGGACCCCAGUGCCAGGAUCCAUGGCAGGAGGCCAGUUUGCCAGUGUGUCUCUGGAGCCCAUCUCUGGGGCAUUGGCACAGAUCUUAACGCUUUGGCCAGGAACUCUUAGAGCUCAGGUGGCAAAACUUUGUCAGCAAAAUUAUUACAGAAUGAAAACGUACACAUGGACAUUUCAACAAAACCUGUUAAGGAGGAAUUAGAAUUCUUCAUAGUUUAAAACCUCUGUUUUCGCUAAUUGCUGCAGCACCGUAAAACAAAUAUCCAUAAACUUAGAAACAGAAAUUAAAUGUAACGAUGAUCACACUUCAUGAAAUAGAACGCUAUUUUCCUAUGAAGCAUCAGAUGAAACCGUUUUAAUGAAGAUAAUUUUGAAAUUAGUUUUCCUUUGUAAUUGAAUAUACAGUGAUAGAAUGCGUAAACAAGUAUUUGAAUUAUAUAUAAAUCAUGAAGUCCAUUUCUUGUAUAACCUCCACAAAUUACAGGAAAUAUAAGAGGAAAUGUUAAAAUGCCAUGGUAUAAGUUUACAUUUAAAAUUAAAUUUAGACUGACAUGAAAAUGAUCUGUAUGAAGACAAGUUUUUUCAGAAAAAUUGUUCUGCAAGAAUCAUCAGCUUUAGAUGUACUAAUAUUUAUAUAUAUAUUUCUAAUAUUUAUAUUUUAAUAUAAUUAAUUGGAAAUUUAUCCCAAUGUUUUCAUAGCCUAUAAAAUACUCUUUUAUGUAAAGUUUAUUUAUUUAUUUUGAGAGAGAAAGAGAGAGAGUGAGAAUGGGGGAGAGGCUGAGAGAGAGAGAGAGAGAGAGAGAGAGAGAGAACUUCAAGCAGGCUCCAGGUUCAGCAAGGAGCCUGACAGGGGGCUCAAUCCCAAGACUGUGAAAUCAUGACCUGAGCAGAAAUCAAGAGUCUAAUGUUUAACUGACUGAGGCACCCAGGCGCCCCACCUAUAAGAUACUCUUAACAGCUUCAGUAACUGUGGCAUCAGCAGACAAAUCCUCCUAAAUAUUAAAAAUCAUCAAAAAUUGUUUGCAAUCUUGAAUUUUCCAAGAGCAACUCACAUUGCUUUCAAUAACAUAGAUUGAAAAUGAAGUUGUGGGGCGCCUGGGUGGCUCAGUCGGUUAAGCGGCCGACUUCGGCUCAGGUCAUGAUCUCGCGGUCUGUGAGUUUGAGCCCCGCGUCGGGCUCUGUGCUGACAGCUCAGAGCCUGGAGCCUGUUUCAGAUUCUGUGUCUCCCUCUCUCUCUGCUCCUCCCCUGUUCAUGCUCUGUCUCUCUCUGUCUCAAAAAUAAAUAAACGUUAAAAAAAAAUUAAAAAAAAAAGAAAAUGAAGUUGCUAAAAGUAAAAAUGUUGAUGAUUUAAUAAAUAUAUUUGCAGAAAUGAGCCAGAAGAGUCUUACAAUCAAUCAAGCUAUCACACUAAUGAAGCCUUAUUUAUUAUAUUAUAAAGAUUAUGACACCAAAGAUAUUUUCUUCAGUUUGUAAGUUUAUACUGUUACCUAUAUAUCACAAUUACCCCUACUUAUGGACUGAAUUGUAUCCCCCUGCCAAAUCCAUAUGUUGAAGUCCUAACCUUCUAUGUGACUCUAUUUGGAGACAGGGCCAUUAAAGAGGUAAUUAAGGUUAAGUAGGGUGAUGAGGGCUGGGCUCUAAUCCUGUAGGACUAGUAUCCUUAUGAGAAGACACUAGACAUCUCUCUCACUCUGUGUGUGUGUGGGUGUGCAUGUGCGUGUGUGCAUGCAGAAGAAAGGUUAUGUGAGACAUGGCAAGAAGGCAGCUGUGUGCCAGCCAGGAAGAGGUAUCUUAUCAGAAACCCUGACAGCACCUUGAUCAUACUUAAGACUUCUAGCCUCCAGAGCUGUGAGAAAAUAAAUUUCUGUUGCAUAAGCAACCCAGUCUGUAGAGUUCUGUUAAGGCAGCCUGAGAUAAUAUACCCGUAUACAUUUUAUAAAUAAUAAAAUAUUUUAAAGGAAAAGCCUUCAUAUUUUAGUACCUUUAAUGGCAUUUUCCCCUUGCUUUCGAACAAAGGGCUCCACAUUUUCAUUUUGCACUGGGUUCUGAAUUAUACAGCUGGCUUUUCUCUGAGUUGAAGUCACACUUUGUGCAUCUCCUAAGGGUUUCAAAAUGGUUCUUCUCUCUGCUUCCUCUCUCCCCACAUCAGCUUCUCCUGGUCGCAUAUAGCCCAACAAGGCCAUUUUCAUCCUGACUAUAUGACCUUUUGUCAAGUGUUCAACAGUAACCCAUUAAUUCUGCCUCAGAGCCCUGACUCUCCAUUUCUGAGGGAAAGAAUAUAAUUGGCUUAGCCCAACUUAUGGAUUGUUUGGUCUUGUAUUGGAUGUCCAUCUGUUCCAACUGGCUGGGGCCACGCACACGUACCUGGCUGGCCUGGCCUACAUUUGCAGGGUCUAGGUGGCCGGCAAUUUCAAAGAAGUGCUGUGGGCUGGGCUUGUGUUCUCAAUUGAGGCAAUUAAAAUGCUUACAUGGAGGAUAACCUGGCCUCACUUCCAUGGUUAACUUAUUUUUCCAAGGGUGUUCAGAAUCUCCACUCCUAAAUAUAACCAACCACAGUUUAUAAAGGAAAAGCAGAAACCAGUACUGUGUUCUGAGAAGUAUUUCAGGGUUGUGUGGCUCAGCUCUCAUUGACAAAAAAAACACAUUAAGAGUAGGAUUAGAUAGAGGGGCACCUGGGUGGCUCCACUGGUUAAGCAUCUGCCUUGCACUCAGGUCAUGAUCUCCCAGUUUGUGAGUUUGAGCCCCAUGUUAGGCUCUGGGCUGACAACUCAGAGCCUGGAGCCUGCUUCAGAGUCUGUGUCUCCCUCUCUCUCUGCCCCUCCCCUGCUCAUGUUCUCCCUAGAUAAAUAAACAUUAAAAAAAAAAAACAAAUUAAAAAAAAAAGAAUAGA